UGGGGAAUUUUGGACAAUGGGCGAAAGCCUGAUCCAGCCAUGCCGCGUGCGGGAAGAAGGCCUUCGGGUUGUAAACCGCUUUUGUCGGGGAAGAAACGUCGCGACCUAAUACGUCGCGGUAAUGACGGUACCUGAAGAAUAAGCACCGGCUAACUACGUGCCAGCAGCCGCGGUAAUACGUAGGGUGCAAGCGUUAAUCGGAAUUACUGGGCGUAAAGCGUGCGCAGGCGGUCAUGCAAGACAGAUGUGAAAUCCCCGAGCUCAACUUGGGAACUGCAUUUGUGACUGCAUGGCUUGAGUGCGGCAGAGGGGGAUGGAAUUCCGCGUGUAGCAGUGAAAUGCGUAGAUAUGCGGAGGAACACCGAUGGCGAAGGCAAUCCCCUGGGCCUGCACUGACGCUCAUGCACGAAAGCGUGGGGAGCAAACAGG
rnacentral:rRNA from 1 species